UACGAAGGGAGCUAGCGUUGUUCGGAAUUACUGGGCGUAAAGGGCGUGUAGGCGGUUAUGUAAGUUAGAUGUGAAAGCCCUGGGCUUAACCCAGGAACUGCAUUUAAUACUGCGUGACUUGAGUGCGAGAGGGGAAAGCGGAAUAGCGUGUGGAGCAGUGAAAUGCGUUGAUAUACGUUAGAACACCGGGGGCGAAGGCGGCUUUCUGGCUCGUAACUGACGCUGAGGCGCGAAAGCGUGGGGAGCAAACAGG
rnacentral:rRNA from 1 species